UACGUAGGGUCCGAGCGUUGUCCGGAGUUACUGGGCGUAAAGGGCGCGCAGGUGGCGGUGUUGGCCCGGCGUGAAAGCCCCCGGCUCAACCGGGGAGGGUCGUCGGGGACCGCACCGCUUGAGGGCGGUAGGGCUGGUGGAAUGCCUGGUGUAGUGGUGAAAUGCGUAGAGAUCAGGCGGAACACCGUAGCGAAGGCGGCCAGCUGGGCCGUCCCUGACACUG
rnacentral:rRNA from 1 species